GCCCAGCCGUAAACUUUUAUCUACAUCUCAAUCGCCAGGGAACUACGAGCUAAGCUUAAAACCCAAAGGACUUGACGGUGCCCCAUAUCCCCCUAGAGGAGCCUGUCCUAUAAUCGAUAAUCCACGUUUAACCUCACCAUUUUUAGUUAGUCAGCCUGUAUACCUCCGUCGUCAGCUUACCACGUGAGCGAGAAUUAGUGAGCUUAAUGUUUUUUCACCAACACGUCAGGUCAAGGUGCAGCAAAUGAAAUGGGAAGAGAUGGGCUACACUUUCUACUAUAGAAAAAACGAAAAACUACUUAUGAAACCUAGUUAGAAGGCGGAUUUAGCAGUAAAAAGGAAUCAGCACGUCCAUUUUAACUCGGCACUGGGGUGUGUACACACCGCCCGUCACCCU
rnacentral:rRNA from 1 species